rnacentral:lncRNA from 1 species
GGCUUAGAAGUUAAUAUCUAUUUUGUAAACCUAUGUAUUAAAGAUAUUAUAAUAAUCUACAUAAUAUUUGUUGUUGUCAUAUUUUAUUUCAUUAUCAUUAUUUUAGAGUACAAUAUAAAACUAAAAAGUUCUUGAAAUUAUAAAAAGAAUAAAAUUAAUUUAUUGGGUGGUGAUAAAAUAACUAAAUUAUAUAGCAUGUGGAAUAUUGUAGAAGAUUAUUUGUGUACAAUCUUGGGUCUAGCACCAAAUGAAGAAUCAUGUGAGUAGAUGAUAUGAUCCCAACGCUUGAGGAGAACAUCACACUGAUAAUCACGCACUUCGGUGUUCUACCAGGUGGCACUUAAGUUGUCGACACAUAUAUCUUUAAACAAGCAGGAUAAAUCCCUGUAAUAAAAAAUAAAGAGAAUAAAAGAAUAAAAUGGAAUAAUAUAUUGCGUACGAAGUAAAGAAGAAAAUUUUAAAUGGUAAGAAAUGGCUUACAUUGAGCAUUUGUUUCAACUAGAAAUAGGGAAAGAAAGAUAAUCAUACUAUAAAUAAAAUUGACAAUUUUAGCC